rnacentral:rRNA from 1 species
GACGAACGCUGGCGGCGUGCUUAACACAUGCAAGUCGAACGGAAAGGCCCCUUUGGGGGUACUCGAGUGGCGCACGGGUGAGUAACACGUGAGUAACCUGCCCUUGACUUCGGGAUAACUUCAGGAAACUGGGGCCAAUACCGGAUAGGAAUCCUUGCUGCAUGGUGGGGGUUGGAAAGCUUCGGCGGUUUUGGAUGGACUCGCGGCUUAUCAGCUUGCUGGUGGGGUAGUGGCUUACCAAGGCUUUGACGGGUAGCCGCCCUGUGAGGGCGACCGGCCAUAUUGGGACUGACAGACGGCCCAGGUUCCGACGCGACGGAAAAGGGGGAAAGAUUGACCGAGGAGCGGAGGGCUGAUGCAGAAAGGCCGCGUGCCGGAUGACGGCGUUAGGGGUGAAAAACGCAUUCAGCAGGGGCGAAGCUUGUGGUGACGGUACCUGCAGAAGAAGCACCGGCUAACUACGUG